rnacentral:rRNA from 1 species
UCGAGAAUCUUCCGCAAUGAACGAAAGUUUGACGGAGCGACGCCGCGUGAUGGAUGAAGCCUUUUGGGGUGUAAACAUCUUUUGUACGUGAAGAAGUAUAUUGACAUUAGCGUAAGAAUAAGGGGCUCCUAAUCACGUGCCAGCAGGAGCGGUAACACGUGAGCCCCAAGCGUUAUCCGGAAUUAUUGGGCGUAAAGGGUGCGUAGGCGGCUGCAUUAGUCGACCCGUGAAAGCCCAGGGCUUAACCCUGGUGUUGCGGGCGAAACGGUGUGGCUAGAGAUAGUCAGAGGUACAUGGAACUCAUGGUGUAGGGGUGAAAUCCGUUGAUAUCAUGGGGAACACCAAAGGCGAAGGCAAUGUACUGGGGCUUUUCUGACGCUGAGGCACGAAACCCUGGGGAGCGAAGCGGAUUAGAUACCCCCGUAGUCC